CUUCUCGCAAAUCCGUGUUGAUAAUUAGCACCUCGAACACAAUGACCAUGGGAAUCCAUAUGAAAAUAAAUGAUGUGUAAGUGAGUUUGAUCAAAUGUAAGCGCAAAUAAAAUGAAGAAUAAACUUUCUUUUCGA